CACUUCCUCCCCGCCACGCUGCUGCGAGCGGGCUCGGCUGCAGCGCUCCCCUCCUGGCCGGGCGGGGCCCUCGGGUGGCGGACCCCCACCCCCGCCUCCAUCCUCCCGGAGUUGGCCCCCGCGGGCUGUGAUUGGCUGAUUCAAACCCAUCUGCAAAGAAAUGCCUGUUUGCGGGUUCCCGUCGGCGUCCAGUUCAAAUCCGCGGCACCCGGACCGCGGGGCCGGGCGGGGGCAGGAAGCGAGGAUGAUUCAUGCGCCGGGGCCUCUCCCGGGGCGGCCGUUGGCUUUUUAAAAAGGGUGUUUAGAAGGGGAAAAAAAAAAAAAACUUGUAGAAGUACCCCCUUCGGGUUCAAGCGCUCCACUCCUCGGUCGCACCCAGGCCAAACCUCCCCCACCCCAGUCCUGCCGGAGCCCGAAUUCAGACGCAUCUUCUUGGGAUCAAGCAAUCCAUGCCCCUGUCAAUGUGAGGUGGCUGAGCUCUCAGGUCCAAGCUAGGCAUGUAGGGGAGAGACAAGAGACAUCUGCUCAAGAAGUAAUCAGAAGAGAGCAAAUCAGUGGCUGUAACACAGUCAAUUGAAUGAUUCGACUAGUAAUGGUGGAACUGAGAUUUGACAUAUUCAAAAGUCAGUGCCUGCGGCAGACUUGGCCCAGUGGUUAGGGCGUCCGUCUGCCACAUGGGAGGUCCGCGGUUCAAAGCCCAGGCCUCCUUGACCCGUGUGGAGCUGGCCCACGUGCAGUGCUGAUGCUUGCGACGCAGAGGUGUCCCACGUAGGGGAGCCCCAUGCGCAAGGAGUGCGCCCUGUAAGUAAGGAGAGCCGCCCAGCGUGAAAGAAAGUGCAGCCUGCCCAGGAAUGGUGCCUCCCACAUGGAGAGCUGACACAACAAGAUGAUGCAGCAAAAAGAAACACAGAUUCCCCUGCCGUGGACAAAGACGCAGCAAAUAGACACUGAGAACAGACAACCGGGGUGCGGGGGAAGGGGAGAGAAAUAAAUAAAUAAAUCUUCAAAAAAAAACAAAAAAAAAAGUCAGUGCCCACACCACCAUCCCACUCAGCCUUCCACGCCGCAUGGUGGGAAAAUAAUAAAGAUGCACACCACACUAAUGUGGACAAGUGUGCACCAGAUGCCAGGCACUGGCCUGUGUUUCACUCAUGCUUAUUAUUAUCCUAUUGUACACAUGAGGAAAUGACAAAUGUGGCAGUUGGGUCAUUGACCCCAUUGGCCUUUAACCACCUGCUAUUCUGCCCCUCUAAGUAACUGCUAUUUGGACUUGCAGGUUCAUAGGCAGCUUAAAUAGCUCAGAUUCACCAUACAAUGAUAUUUCAUCUUUCAAUAAGGCUUCAUAUGUGAAUAGCUCUUCAGAGUUUAUGCAGAGUGCUUUUGUUUCCUAUCUCUCAUCUCAUUCCCAUGGCAGCUCUGCAAGAUGAGCAAGGUAGGGGUUAUGGUUCCUGUUUUAUAGAUGAUGACAUUGAGCCUGAGUUUGAGAGAUGGGCCUGUGGUCACAGAGCUAGAAAGUGGUAGACACAGGACUCAAGAGCAGGUACUCAAGUGGAGAGGACCUUCCAAGUCAAGUCUUCCAACUCCUCAUUUUCAGAUGGGGAAACUGGGGUCUGAAGAGUAGGAGAGGCUAUUGAAGUUCAGGAAAUCAGCAGAUAUAAUCAAGAUCUCUGCCUCCCUGCCCAGAGAUUUAUGUCAUGUUGCUUUUGUCAGAUCUCCAGUUGUCCUCCUGAGUUUUUAUUGCCAAAAUUCUUUAAAAAUCCUCUGGUUGAGCGUUUUGUGAUGUGUGACAGUCUCAUGAAUUUCAGAGGGAAUUUCUGCCUGGGUGGUGGAAUGUCUCGAUAAUCUUCGGGACCUCUUUCAGCUUGAAAAGUCUAUGACCCUGCCACCCAAAUUCCAUGGCUAUUUAAAGAGGAUCUUUGCUCUGCUGCUGCUCCCGGAAGAUGCAUUCAGGCCUGGUCUCUCUCUUUAGUCCAUUCUGCAAUCUGAUCUUUGGUCCUACAUUGCAGCAAUAGUUCCAAGAGGCUUAGCUGGGACCAUUCAGAUCUGUGUCUUACAGUCGCUUCCUCCAAGAUUACAAUUCAAGGUCCCAUAUGCC
ensembl:lincRNA